rnacentral:rRNA from 1 species
CUAAGGUCCCAAAGUCAUAGUUAAGUGGGAAACGAUGUGGGAAGGCCCAGACAGCCAGGAUGUUGGCUUAGAAGCAGCCAUCAUUUAAAGAAAGCGUAAUAGCUCACUGGUCGAGUCGGCCUGCGCGGAAGAUGUAACGGGGCUAAACUAUGCACCGAAGCUGCGGCAGCGACACUAUGUGUUGUUGGGUAGGGGAGCGUUCUGUAAGCCUGUGAAGGUGUGUCGUGAGGCAUGCUGGAGGUAUCAGAAGUGCGAAUGCUGACAUAAGUAACGAUAAAGCGGGUGAAAAGCCCGCUCGCCGGAAGACCAAGGGUUCCUGUCCAACGUUAAUCGGGGCAGGGUGAGUCGACCCCUAAGGCGAGGCCGAAAGGCGUAGUCGAUGGGAAACGGGUUAAUAUUCCCGUACUUGGUGUUACUGCGAAGGGGGGACGGAGAAGGCUAUGUUGGCCGGGCGACGGUUGUCCCGGUUUAAGCGUGUAGGUGUGUGUUCCAGGUAAAUCCGGUUCACUUUAACACUGAGGCGUGA